rnacentral:rRNA from 1 species
CGGAGGAAGGUGGGGAUGACGUCAAAUCAUCAUGCCCCUUAUGUCUAGGGCUGCAAACAUGCUACAAUGGCCAGUACAGAGGGCUGCGAGACCGCAAGGUGGAGCGAAUCUCAAAAAGCUGGUCUCAGUUCGGAUUGGGGUCUGCAACUCGACCCCAUGAAGUCGGA